rnacentral:rRNA from 1 species
GACGAACGCUGGCGGCGUGCUUAACACAUGCAAGUCGAACGCUGAAGCUCAGCUUUUGUUGGGUGGAUGAGUGGCGAACGGGUGAGUAACACGUGAGUAACCUGCCCUCUUCUUUGGGAUAACGCCCGGAAACGGGUGCUAAUACUGGAUAUUCACUGGUCUUCGCAUGGGGGUUGGUGGAAAUGGUUUUUCUGGUGGGUGAUGGGGUCGCGGCCUAUCUGCUUGUUGGUGGGGUGAUGGCCUACCAAGGCUUUGACGGGGAGCCGGCCUGAGAGGGUGACCGGGCAGAUUGGGAGUGAGAUAGGGCCCAGACUACGACGGGAGGCAGCAGUGGGGAAUAUUGCAGAAUGGGGGCAAGACUGAGGCAGCGACGGCGCGUGAGGGAUGGAGGCCGUGGGGUUGUGAACCUCUUUCGCUCAUGGUCAAGCCGCAACAAUGGUUGUGGUGAGGGUAGUGGGUAAAGAAGCGCCGGCUAACUACGUG